CGGGCUAACAACGUGCCAGCAGCUGCGGUAAUACGUUGACGAGGGAGCGUUAUUAGUCGUAUUUAGGCGUUAGGAGUGGCUAGACUGUUUAAAAAUAUUUCAAUGAAACCGAAGGUUUUUUCGCAGUGGAUUGAUUUUUUUUUUAAUACUAGAGAGAGAAGUAGGUUCGAAAUGAUUAUUAUUUAGAGAUAAAAUGUGAAUAAAUUCUAAGCAUUCUCAGAAGCCACGGCGUCGUUCUAAUUCUCUCUGACGUCGUACCACUAAAGUUCGAGUAGCGAUUAGGAUUGGAGACCCUAAUAGUUCGGACCCUGAAUUUAUGGGUAUUAAGCUAAUGAAUUUAGACUUAAGUAAAUGCGUAAAUACCUCGCCAGGGGAGUAAGGUUGCAAAGAAUAAACUUAAAAAGAUUGGCGGGAACUUGUAUAAACGGUGAAGUGUGUGGUUUAAUUCGACAAUCCACGUGUAAUCUUACCAGUGUAGCUGUUUUUUUAAAAACCUCGUAAAUUGAGUUAUGUGAUUAGAGAAACGAGAGGUACUGCAUGGCUGUCGUCAGUUUGUGUUGUAAAAUGGGAUAUUAAGUUAUCAAACAAACGCAACCCUCAUAUUGAAGAAAAAAUCUUUUUUUAUUGAAGAUACUACAGCUUAAUAAAAUUAUUUUUUCUUUAAUAACGUUGUAAUAAUUACAUUAAAUAAUUAUUAUUGGGAAGAAGAGGCUGAAGUCAAGUCAUUAUGGUCUUAAUAUGCUGGGCUACACACGCGCUGCAAAGCUGAAAACAAAACGAGGCAACACCGAAAUGUGAAGCAAUUCGUAAAAAAUCAGCCUAGUUCUAAUUGAAGAUUGAAACUCAUUUUCAUGAAGAUGGAAUCGUCUGUAAUCGUAAAAAAGAAUGUUACGGUGAAUAAGAAAUCAAGUUUUGCACACACCGCCCAUCACGCUCGGAGAA
rnacentral:rRNA from 1 species